rnacentral:tRNA from 1 species
AUUUCUGUAGUGUAGCGGUUAGCACAUCUGCUUUACAUGCAGAAGGUCCUGAGUUCAUGCCCCAGUAGAGCCA